GGACUGUCGCUUCCUUUCCAAGUCACAAUUUCGUUUGAACCGCCCUUCUCAAAAUGACCUAUUGUUUGCAAAUUUGUGUUUUCUUCAAAGGGGAUUUUUAUGUUUUGUAGAAAUGAAGGACAACGGAGAAGGGUUUUUAGUCUUGGAACCUUAUCUCCUCCUCGAUGCAGCUGCAAUGAACCAACAUAAUUGUAGACCAAAGUGGGUGCGGCCUCUUCUCCUCCACAAAAAGCUGCGAAAUUUUGUUGACUGUAAAUCCGGUGCCGUCAUAGUAAAAGAAAAGACCGGGGGGGUUUCUGGUAUUUUGGCAUCUGGGAUGAGGCUUACAGCUAAUAACUUGUAUGGGUUGGCAUCAAAACCACGAAAAAUAUCUGAUCUGGGCUCCUUCUCUCUGGUAUUUUUUUUUUUCACAGCUAAUAACUUGUGCUGCUAACUAUCGCACCGCUUCGAAACCAUUUGAUGGAAUCCAAUCGUCUCGCCGGUUUGAUCCAUUUUGGGUACUUGAUCUUACUCUGAAGUAGAAGAAGAAUCACCCAGACACUGUGAAAGUUUUGAGGUUAUUCAAAGUCCAAGUUUGCUUUGCUGCCAUUUGUGGAUGCAUGUCAAUGUCAUCUUCUUCGAAACCAAUCAUCAAUUCUAUUUGAAUUGGAUCCUUCUGCUGUAAAUUUAGGAUCUUUAAACACCUGUUUCGGAUUUGGAAAGUGCUUAUCUGUGUAUUGUUCAUUGGAUUUUAUUUUUAUUUUUACUUUUCAGGCUCUUCCUUCUAAUUUUGAGAGAGGUAUGUUGCUUACUCGAUUUAUCAUGAGCUCAUUGAGAUGCAAUGGGAUUGCGAUUGACUUGUGACUUGCCAUUCUGGGUUAGAUUAUUCCACAAGCUAUAUGCUCAAGAUAUGGGCUUUCUGUUGCUUCGAAUUUUGUUUGGCUUGUUGGCAUUCUGAUGAUCAUCUGCUAUCCAAUCGCCUACCCAAUUAGAAAAGUUCUUGAUCUUGUACUUGGACAUGGAAAUGAUUUGUUCAGGCGAGCACAGUUGAAAGCCCUCAUCUCUAUUCACGACCUUCAGGCUGGAAAGGGAGGUGAACUAACACAUGAUAAGACAACGAUUAUCAGUGGAGCGCUAGAUUUAACUGAAAAGACUGCCAAGGAGGCUAUAACACCUAUUGAAUCAAGGUUGUGCUUGGAUGUUGAUUCAAAGUUAGACUGCGAAGCAAUUGGGAAAAUUCUUGCACAUGUUAGAAUGUGUUGCUGAGCUCUAACAAAUUUGAGGAUCAUACUGAAGGCGAACAACCUCUUGUUGCAAAAUUUAGAAGCUACAUGAAGACUUGACAAAUGGUUUCCAUGCCUUGAGGAUGAAUCGAUGAUUGGACUUGAUACUUCUUUUGGAUGGUUCGUGUUGCUGUUAUAAAUUGCAUGGUGAUGACAAUUGGAGUUACUGUAGUUUCUGUUGUGCAUGAGGAAGUGUUAGGUUAUUGUGACGCCAUUUUUGCUUUGCUUAUGUGGCGGUUGCUCUAGUUUGGAUGUGUAGUUACAACUUCCUGUCAUUCCCUUCAUGUUUUUACUGGAGACUAGAUUCUAUUCCUCAUGUAUUUAAGCAAUAAGGUAUUCAAGAUUUUUCA
rnacentral:lncRNA from 1 species